UGGUCAGCGGUUUCAAGCAUAAAAUUAAAGGCGGUCUUAAUUAUAAUACUAAUUAGUACGUUGCUAUAUUUCAGAUGAAGAGAUGUCUUUCGUUCGAAUCCGUCUUACUUUCCAACACUCUCUGCCCCAUACUGAGGUCAAGAACUGCUGGUUUCUUUUUGAUACUUCCUCUUGUAGCACGAUCGCUGACUUAGAGUAUUUGAUUAGGAAAAGAUUCAAGGGACCUUCGAAGAGUUGUCACGUGGUGAAUCUGUUCCUCGACGAUUUCCUUCUUCCUUCGCAAGAGAAGAUAGAGAUCAUUCAAAAUAAUGAUCACAUAAGAGUGGAGAUCCAACAAACAACAGGAAAACAGACAGAUGAAGAUGGAAGAGAUGAACAAACAGCAGAAAACAAAGUGGAAAGGAAGAGAAAAAAGAGUAGUUUACCAGAUGCAAGGGAUAAACUGAAAAAGAAGCAAGUUGAGGAGAACAAACAGGGUUUUAGUACUAAAAAGAUCAAAGGGAAUCACUUACCGAAGAAAAGAGUACGAGAUGACAGUGAGACACCAAAGGAUAGUAAAAGGGCCAAGAGAGAACAGAAACUUGUAAGAAAAGAGGCAAAAAAAGAAGCAAACAGAAGACACAAAUCAAAAUUAUCUUCAGUUGUAGAAAGUGAUGUUGGUGCUUUGCUAUUACAAGAGAGAAGUUCUACAAAAGUUUUUUCACCAUCCUUGACAAGUACCGGUACAACAAGCUCACAAAUGAAAAAAUUGAAUAAACCUUCAAAAGGAAAAUCUGCAAUUCAGCAGAAGCAAAUGAACGAAAUCAAGCUAUCUUUGCAAGGUGAUAUUCAUAAAAGAAAAGAACCUUCAGUGCCUUUGAAAACAAGUUCAAAGAAAGGCAAGACAAGUGGAAAAGUAAUACUUGGUGGUGGUAGAAAUGUCAGCGACAGCACUUCCUCUGAGAGUUCAAGCUCAAUAGAUGAAUCAGGAACCUCAAAUUCACCAUCCAAGGUGAAGAAAAAUGGAAAAGUAACACUUGUGGGUGGUAGAAAUGCCAUUAAUAGUGACAGUACUUCCUUUGAGAGCUCCAGCUCAUCAGAUGAAUCAGGACCCUCAAAUUUACCAUCUCUUACAGAUGUCGCCCAAAGAAGGGUUGAUACUGAUGAGUUGAAAAAAGACGCUCACAGCAUAAUAAUGGAAACAAGUGAAUCACAAGGAAAGAAUAAAAGUGAUACUAUUCCUCAAUCAUCUUUGACUUUAUGUGAUAUAACUGAGGGAACAAGAAAUGGCAGAUCUUUUUCAUUGUCAUCCAAAGCCUCUAGCAGUUUGGAAAAGUCUGGGGACUCUUCCAUUUUUUCUCACAAAAGUGGGAAGCUGAACUCAAGAAUUGAGAGCAACAGCAAGAAAACUUUGUCAUCCUUAGAAAACCCAGCAUCGUCAUCCAGAAUGUCAUUCCAGUCACCUAGCUCUGCAUAUAGUCAGACACAAACAGGAGGUGCAAAUAAUAGGUCUGUUGAGCAAUCUGCCAGUGGCUAUAAUGCCAAGCAAAUGAACAAAUCUGGACAAGUGUGGCCUCUCAUAAGUAUAAAUGGAAGACCUAACAACAAGCCAGAAUCCAGUCAACAAACCAGCCACAUAAGAUUUGAUUCAGAGGAGUCUGAAGAAGAAAGUAUAGACAAACAGCAGGAAGACACUGGUUUGACAAAUGGAAGCUCAGAACACCCACUAACCAAUGCAGGUUCAACUUCAUAUUUUCCACCAUGCACACAAAGUAUGCUACCAAAGACCCCCAAGACAGCUGUCAGUGAAAGUAAGUCUUUUUUUAUAUUGUCUAGCGGUCAACAACGCAAGAUUACAGUCUUUGUACACGACUUCAUGGCCCUCCCAGAAUUGGGGAUAAAAUAGCUUAUAAGGUACUUGAACUUUCCGCCUCCUAUACUCCUGAAAUUUCAGACUACAAGGAAGGAACUGUUCUUGCUUUUGAUCCAAGCAGUGGAACU
rnacentral:misc_RNA from 1 species